rnacentral:ncRNA from 1 species
UCCUGACUAAUUGUUUCACGUGAAACAUUAGACACUAGCCAAGACAGGAGAACCACAUG